rnacentral:rRNA from 1 species
GUGCAGCAGGCGAGAAUUUUUCACAAUGGGGGAAACCCUGAUGGAGCGACGCCGCGUGGAGGAUGAAGGCCUUUUGGUCGUAAACUCCUGUCAUGCGAGAACAAGAAAGUGAUAGUAUCGCAAGAGGAAGAGGCGGCUAACUCUGUGCCAGCAGCCGCGGUAAUACAGAGGCCACAAGCGUUGUUCGGAUUCAUUGGGCGUAAAGGGUGCGUAGGUGGCUUGUUAAGUUGAAGGUGAAAUCUCGGGGCUCAACUCCGAAACUGCCUUCAAUACUGGCGAGCUCGAGGAUUGUAGAGGAGAAUGGAAUUCACGGUGUAGCAGUGAAAUGCGUAGAUAUCGUGAGGAAGACCAGUGGCGAAGGCGAUUCUCUGGGCAAUUCCUGACACUGAGGCACGAAGGCCAGGGGAGCAAACGGGAUUAGAUACCCCCGUAGU